rnacentral:rRNA from 1 species
UACGUAGGGUGCGAGCGUUGUCCGGAAUUAUUGGGCGUAAAGGGCUCGUAGGCGGUUUGUCGCGUCGGGAGUGAAAUCCACUGGCUUAACUGGUGGCUUGCUUUCGAUACGGGCAGACUGGAGGUAUGCAGGGGAGAACGGAAUUCCUGGUGUAGCGGUGAAAUGCGCAGAUAUCAGGAGGAACACCCGUGGCGAAGGCGGCUCUCUGGAACGCAACUGACGCUGAGACGCGAAAGCGUGGGGAGCGAACAGG